rnacentral:rRNA from 1 species
UACGAAGGGGACUAGCGUUGUUCGGAAUUACUGGGCGUAAAGCGCACGUAGGCGGAUUUGUUAGUCAGGGGUGAAAUCCCGGGGCUCAACCUCGGAACUGCCUUUGAUACUGGGGAUCUCGAGUCCGGGAGAGGUGAGUGGAACUCCGAGUGUAGAGGUGAAAUUCGUAGAUAUUCGGAAGAACACCAGUGGCGAAGGCGGCUCACUGGCCCGGUACUGACGCUGAGGUGCGAAAGCGUGGGGGAGCAAACAGG